rnacentral:misc_RNA from 1 species
GAUGAAGAACGUAGCGAAAUGCGAUACUUGGUGUGAAUUGCAGAAUCCCGUGAACCAUCGAGUCUUUGAACGCAAGAUGCGCCCGAAGCCAUCAGGUUGAGGGCACGUCUGCCUGGGCGUCACAUAUCGUUGCCCAAUGCCUAUUGCAGUGCAAUAGGAAUUUCUAGGGCGAAUGAUGGCUUCCCGUGAGCGUUGUUGCCUCGUGGUUGGUUGAAAAUCGAGUCCUUGGUAGGGUGUGCCAUGGUAGAUGGUGGUCGAGUUAGAACGAUACCGAUCAUGUGCAUGCUCCCCAAAAUAUGGCCUCUAUGACCCACACGCGUCUUUUGACGCUCAUGACGAGACCUCAGGUCAGGCGGGGCUACCCGCUGAAUUUAAGCAUAUCAAUAAGCGGAGGA